UACAGAGGGUGCAAGCGUUAAUCGGAAUUACUGGGCGUAAAGCGUGCGCAGAUGGUUGCGUAAGUCAGAUGUGAAAGCCUGGGGCUCAACCCCGGGUCGGCCGUGCGAACUGGGGGGCUGGAGCACUGUAGAGGCAGGCGGAAUUCCGGGUGUAGCGGUGGAAUGCGUAGAGAUCCGGAAGAACACCGGUGGCGAAGGCGGCCUGCUGGGCAGUUGCUGACACUGAGGCGCGACAGCGUGGGGAGCAAACAGG
rnacentral:rRNA from 1 species